UACAGAGGUCUCAAGCGUUGUUCGGAUUCAUUGGGCGUAAAGGGUGCGUAGGUGGCAUGGUAAGUCGGAUGUGAAAUCCCGGGGCUCAACCCCGGAACUGCAUUCGAUACUGCUGCGCUAGAGUACUGGAGAGGAGAUUGGAAUUUACGGUGUAGCAGUGAAAUGCGUAGAUAUCGUAAGGAAGACCAGUGGCGAAGGCGGAUCUCUGGACAGUUACUGACGCUGAGGAGCGAAAGCGUGGGGAGCGAACAGG
rnacentral:rRNA from 1 species